UGUGGGGUUGAGCCCGGGGCUCCCCAACAUGAGCUGCCGCACAGGUCAUCCAUGGUUUUGAGUUGAAAUCCUGAAACUGACAAGUUUUAGAAAAGCAGACGUCAUAUGUCACCCCUCGGGGGAAAGGAGCGGUCAGCAGUUCCCAGGACCCAGAUGUGGGAUGCAGCUGGAGCUGGCAGUGUUAACCCCUGCCCUACCCCCGCUGUCCAGGUGUGCAGACCAAAGGAACCGUGCUGAAUUUGCUGCCCACCAACGUGUGCAGACUGGUCUAGUAGUAGAGUGUUCUCUCCUCUGGUAGGAGGUUGGAACCCGGGGCACCCAAGCAUCAAAUGUAAAAGAAUGGUGCUGGCGAAGACCAG